rnacentral:rRNA from 1 species
AGCGGAGGAAAAGAAACCAACCGGGAUUGCCUCAGUAACGGCGAGUGAAGCGGCAACAGCUCAAAUUUGAAAGCCCGCGGGCGUUGUAAUUUGCAGGCGGAUGUUUUGGGGCGGGCGCUGUCUACGUUCCUUGGAACAGGACGCCGCAGAGGGUGAGAGCCCCGUGCGAUGGCGCCUCUAACCGCGUAAAACUCCGCCGACGAGUCGAGUUGUUUGGGAAUGCAGCUCCAAGUGGGUGGUAAAUUCCAUCUAAAGCUAAAUACUGGCGAGAGACCGAUAGCGAACAAGUACAGUGAUGGAAAGAUGAAAAGCACUUUGAAAAGAGAGUGAAACAGCACGUGAAAUUGUUGAAAGGGAAGGGUAUGCGAUUAGCGGCCAGCAGGAGGUGCCUUCUCGUGAAAAGGCCGUGCACCGUCUUCGGACACCGUGCGCGGAGAUGGCGAGGGGGCGCCUGAGGUCUGCGAACUCGAGUGC